AUUGAACGCUGGCGGCAGGCCUAACACAUGCAAGUCGAACGGCGCGGCUGACGGGUGAGUGAUGCCUAGGAAUGUGCCCGGUCGUGGUGGAUCACGUCAGGAAACGUACGCUGAUCCCGCAUACUAUCGGAACAGUCUAGGUCGUAUUAGCUAGUUGGUGGGGUAAUGGCCUACCAAGGCGACGAUCCGUAACUGGGCUGAGAGGAUGAGCAGGCAAACUGGAACUGAGACACGGUCCAGACUCCUACGGGAGGCAGGAGUGGGGAAUAUUGGACAAUGGGCGAAAGCCUGAUACAGCCAUGCCGCGUGUGUGAAGAAGGUCUGCGGAUUGUAAAGUACUUUAAGUUGGGAGGCGUUACCAAAAGAAUAAGCACCGGCUAACUUCGUGCCAGCAGCCGCGGUAAUAC
rnacentral:rRNA from 1 species